rnacentral:rRNA from 1 species
GCGGCAGGCCUAACACAUGCAAGUCGAACGGUAACAGAAAGCAGCUUGCUGCUUUGCUGACGAGUGGCGGACGGGUGAGUAAUGUCUGGGAAACUGCCUGAUGGAGGGGGAUAACUACUGGAAACGGUAGCUAAUACCGCAUAACGUCGCAAGACCAAAGAGGGGGACCUUCGGGCCUCUUGCCAUCGGAUGUGCCCAGAUGGGAUUAGCUUGUUGGUGGGGUAACGGCUCACCAAGGCGACGAUCCCUAGCUGGUCUGAGAGGAUGACCAGCCACACUGGAACUGAGACACGGUCCAGACUCCUACGGGAGGCAGCAGUGGGGAAUAUUGCACAAUGGGCGCAAGCCUGAUGCAGCCAUGCCGCGUGUAUGAAGAAGGCCUUCGGGUUGUAAAGUACUUUCAGCGGGGAGGAAGGGAGUAAAGUUAAUACCUUUGCUCAUUGACGUUACCCGCAGAAGAAGCACCGGCUAACUCCGUGCCAGCAGCCGCGGUAAUACGGAGGGUGCGAGCGUUAAUCGGAAUUACUGGGCGUAAAGCGCACGCAGGCGGUUUGUUAAGUCAGAUGUGAAAUCCCCGGGCUCACCCCUGGGAACUGCAUCUGAUACUGGCAAGCUUGAGUCUCGUAGAGGGGGGUAGAAUUCCAGGUGUAGCGGUGAAAUGCGUAGAGAUCUGGAGGAAUACCGGUGGCGAAGGCGGCCCCCUGGACGAAGACUGACGCUCAGGUGCGAAAGCGUGGGGAGCAAACAGGAUUAGAUACCCUGGUAGUCCACGCCGUAAACGAUGUCGACUUGGAGGUUGUGCCCUUGAGGCGUGGCUUCCGGAGCUAACGCGUUAAGUCGACCGCCUGGGGAGUACGGCCGCAAGGUUAAAACUCAAAUGAAUUGACGGGGGCCCGCACAAGCGGUGGAGCAUGUGGUUUAAUUCGAUGCAACGCGAAGAACCUUACCUGGUCUUGACAUCCACAGAACUUUCCAGAGAUGGAUUGGUGCCUUCGGGAACUGUGAGACAGGUGCUGCAUGGCUGUCGUCAGCUCGUGUUGUGAAAUGUUGGGUUAAGUCCCGCAACGAGCGCAACCCUUAUCCUUUGUUGCCAGCGGUCCGGCCGGGAACUCAAAGGAGACUGCCAGUGAUAAACUGGAGGAAGGUGGGGAUGACGUCAAGUCAUCAUGGCCCUUACGACCAGGGCUACACACGUGCUACAAUGGCGCAUACAAAGAGAAGCGACCUCGCGAGAGCAAGCGGACCUCAUAAAGUGCGUCGUAGUCCGGAUUGGAGUCUGCAACUCGACUCCAUGAAGUCGGAAUCGCUAGUAAUCGUGGAUCAGAAUGCCACGGUGAAUACGUUCCCGGGCCUUGUACACACCGCCCGUCACACCAUGGGAGUGGGUUGCAAAAGAAGUAGGUAGCUUAACCUUCGGGAGGGCGCUUACCACUUUGUGAUUCAUGACUGGGGUGAAAUC